rnacentral:tRNA from 1 species
GGUUACGUACUUUAUUUUAAAAGGUUUAGCUUGCACCUAAAACUAGAGACCAACUCCGUAACCC